CUGUGCAGAGAUUUAGGUCACACUUUUGUGCCUCUCUAGAGAUGUGUUGAAACCAAGCUGCUUGUUCUGGAAUAAGUCAUUGCUCGUGUUGAUUGAAUCAGGUUGUCACAAUAAGGAUGAAGGUGAGCCACCUUCCUGAACUGCUGCAGUCCAUGUGGUAUGAGUAUACCCCAUAACGAUAUUAGGUUUUCUAUGAUGCUAUAAUUACUGAAGGAAAAUGGUAGACUACAGAUGGAAGACUUUUUGGAAGAGGACUUGUUUCCCUUGAAGAAAGCAAGAGAAAACCACCUUGUGAUUCUUUUCCUUAAUGACAUUACUCAGUAAAUGUGAAUGGGAGUCUCCCACAAGCAGUGAAGAGGAAGAUGCAAGACUGCAAGGGAUGGAUAAAUAAACAAGGGACCAGUCCUUAGGGAGAUCAAAACACUCUUGACUGUUGUCUAUAAGUUUCCUGAAUUAAAUAUUGGA